AUACUUACCUGGCACAGGAGAUACCGUGAUCACGAAGGCGGUUUUCCCAGGGCGAGGUCACCAUUGCACUCCGGUUGGUGGCACUGACCCUGAGGAUUAACCCAAAUGUGGUUAACUCGAGUGCGGAAAAUUUUUGAUUUAAGCAGGGGACUGCGUUCGCGCUAAUCCCUU